CGAGCCGGGUCGGGUCGGGUCGGGCCGGGCCGAUGGCGGCGGCUGCAGAGUGCCUACGAGCGGUGGGGCUGCAGUUCUUAGCUCGCUCAGUGCGGGUGCUGCCCGCCCUGCUGGCCCCCGCCGUGCUGCUGGGGCUGCUGCUCGGAGCCGCCGCCGCCGCCCUGCUCUGCCGCUGCGCGCUGCUGAGGCCGCGCCGGCGGAGAGAGAUAGAUGAUUCCCAGAGACUUCUGGAAAGUUUCAACUGUGAUGAAAAAGAAAAUCCUCUUACAAAAAGUGAAGCAGAACCCUAUACAUCAAAAGAAGAGGUGGUGUUGGAGGAAAAUGAGUCUCCUCUGAACAGUAACAUUUCAGCAUUUGCGUUGAAGGCAAAAGUCAUCUAUCCCAUCAAUCAGAAAUUUAGGCCAUUGGCAGAUGGCUCAUCCAAUCCAUCUUUGCAUGAGAAUCCAAAGCAGGCAGUUCUGCCUAAUCAGGUAACGGAGGCGUCUACAUCAGGCAGCCUGGAAUCCCUUAGCCAGGGAGACAAAGAGGACUGUAGUUCCUCCACAACAAUACAUUCAACAACAAGUGAUGACAGAUAUCAGGAUCGAGCCUUCUUCAAGGUAACCUGCUUCCCCGAAGUGCUCACGUGUGAGAGUUUUGAUGUUAAGCUCUGCCUUUGCAGUCUUCUUUUAAAAGAUCUCAUGCUUCUUGAUACUGAGCUUAGAAAAGAAGAACAUGUGAUAUUCAUUCAGAUUCUCAAAAUAUACCUCACAGACUUCAAUCAUAAGAAGAAGAUUACUGCUGAUUUGUUUGGGAAGACAUGUUUAAUUCUCAAAAAUGAUUUUGAAGAAUUACAGAAACAACUUGAUUCCAGACUGCAGAAUACUGAGAUGUCAGGAGCCCAUAAUUCAGAGUACCAAACUGUGGAAGACUUAGAAAGGAAAGAAAGGGAAUAUUCUGAGCACAUAAUAGAUAAUAUGGAAGCUUUCUGGAAGCAGACUGACAAAGCCCAGCAGGUUUUUUUGGACCAAUCAAAAUGCUCAAGUGCCGAAUCAGCAAAGAUAAUGACGGACCUGACUGAGAAGAUGAUUGCAGUAGAAGGCUUAUUAAAUGAAUCUCAGGAUUUGCAGGCAAUGGACAUUCAGGAAAGGUUAUUUAACUGGGAGCUUAUGGUAAAAGUGGUUGAUUCACUGAGGUCCUGUAUACCAGAAGAGUGCAGGUGUAGACUGAAUAUUCUAUCAAACAUUCUGGACCAUUUAACUGUAAAGAAUAAACUCUCCGUUCGACAAAAAGAAGAGCUUUUAACAGACCUUCACAAGGCCUUCUGGGAACAACUGGCACAUUUCACUAACGAAUGUAUCCAGCAAAGUAAAGACCUCAUCCUGAAACGACUGGAGUGCCGUGCAAAUAAGAGAGAAGACUUCAAAAACAGACAGAAAACUGAACAAGAGAUUCUCCUCAGUAAAGCUUUUCAUAUUGGAGAUUUAAAUGAUUUUCUUAAGGCUUACCAUGAUCUGCUAGAGAAGCACUGGCAGGCACAGUGGCAGCUGGAAGAGGAAGAUGACUGUGAAAGCACAGAGGCUGUUGUGGAGCUCUACAAGGAGCUGCAUUCUAAAGCUUCCCAUGCUUUAGCAGACUUGGUGAAUGAGCUGUUUCUUCAAACACUGCCUGUUGUGACCGGCCUCUCUGUAAGUGAAUGUGAACUUCUGAAAGAGGAAUGGCAGGAGAAUGUGGUGCCUCAGCUGGAGAAGUGGGACAGCCACUGCCAGAAACGCUGGAAACUUUUCCAGGAACAGCUACUGCAAGAAAAAAAGCUAUGGAUAAAUGAAUACGCUCUCUCUUCUGUGAUGCAAAAGCACCUGUCUGAGAAACAAGAAAAGGUAAUGCAAGGCGUCAUGAGCAGACUGGGCUGCCUCAGUGAUGAGUCUGUUAACUACAUAUUGCAAAAACAGCGGCUCUUGCUGUGUUCAAUAUGGAGAAGGUUAACUCUUAGAAGCAUUGGAAUGGCAGGUUUGACCCGCAUGAGGAUGUCCAGAAAGAAGAGCUUGCUCCAGGAGCUGAGAGAGCAACAUAUGCUGCAGAAGAGCACUUCAACCUGUCAAGAUGAAGAUCAGUGGCAGCUACAGAAGGCAGUGGAGUCUCAUAUUCUGGAAGAGGAAGCGAAACUUGAGGAAGAAACACAGCAAACCCAUUUAGAAUUUCACCAGCAGUUAGUAACAGAAAUCCAAGAAGCUCUUCAGUUUCUUCAGCAACACAUGGAGAAAGUGAUUGGACGGACAUUGCUGCAACAUGCCAGACAGGAAGCUGCAAAAGAGAAUUCAGAUGAUGAAGAGGAAUUCAAGGAGAAACUGGUAGAAGCUGCUGUAGAAAGUGUAUAUGGGACCAGCAAUAAUAUCAAUAGACUGGUAGAAAACUACUAUCAGCAAGUUGGAAAAAUCACAGAAGACUAUGAAAGAAAAAAACUUCAGCAAUUGAAAUCCCUACAAGCAGAAAGAAGUGAAAAGUACAGACUUAGAAAGAAAGAAGAGAAUGAACAAGCACUGAAAGAAAGACAGACCAAAGGCAUCCUGAAUGUAUCAUCUACAGUCCACCAAAGGAUGGUGCUGCAGCAAAAGAAGGUUCUGACUCAGUUUGAAUUGCACCAACAAAUUCGUCUGGAGUUUCUGAAACAGAAGCUGCUGGGAUUGCAUCACCUAGGAAGUGAGGUGGAGAAUCAGCUGAAGGAUGCAGAGUGGGGCUUCAUUACUGAGCUGGCUGCAUUGGCUCGAGUUCCAGUCACUAUGAAGAAGCAGCUGUCCAAAAGGAGCAAGCCAGCAGUGGAAAAAACAAACUCAAACAGAAGAUCCUUAAAGUCUCCAGAACUGGAAGAUAACGAUGAUUCUUGUGAAAAUAACCAGGAGCCCCUCAGCCUGAAUUCCAGCUUGUGCAGAGAGAGGUUGGAGAGGCCACACGAAGGGGAGACUGAACCAAGGAAAAAGACAAAGAUGAUAAAAAAAAGAGGCAACAGGUAGUCAAAGUAUUUAUAUGAGCUGUCUGAACACAGAGUACCAAAGCAUUCUUCUGGGAGAUCUCAGCAGCUAUAAAUACUUACUGAGCUGGUUUACUGAGGAACAAUGAAGAACAUCAAUAAUAACCGAGAAAUCUUCUUUAGCUACAGACUGAGAAUCAAUCCCAACAUUCUCAUUUAGCCUUGGCAAGGGGAAACAAAGAAUUCUUUAAGCUCUUCCAGACGGUUUGGGAAACAUGGAGAUGGGGGAUAGAUAGUUUUAAAUGAGGAAUAUACCUGAGGAAAAUGUAGAACCAAUCCACCCUAGACUGCUGAGGUCAGGACACUGCAGUGAGGUUUCAUUGUGAUGUUGAUGGUUUUGAGCCUGAAAUGUGCUGGAUUUGGUUUCAGUAGUUGUGAUCGCUGCUUUGGAAUAACAGAAAUAGAUAGAACUCUAAAGACUACAUAAAGAGACUUUGGGUUCUAUUGGUAAACUGAAUGAUUAAAUUUGUCUUUCCCUUGUUAUAUUUUAAUGCUUCCAAGGUAAGGCAUGCUUUAAAAUUUGUACAGAGAUUUUUGUAAAUCUAUUUCCCUUUAUCUCAGAUUUCUGAUUAUUAAUUUUUAGAAAGACUGAGACUAAGCUCGUCUACUGUUUCAUUUUCUUAUAUCCCACUUUAUAUUCUAAUUCCUCAAGUAAACUCUUUUGUUUUCAGUGUACUUUGUUAUUCUUGUUACAUUCCAUAUGGGAAUUUUUCUUGUCAUGCAAAGCAGCUCUUUCUCCCUGGCUGCGCAGAGCACCUGUAUCUUGUAAUAAAUUGCCCUGCUUAAGCAGUCUUACGGCUAUUGUGAAAUAGAAGUUUUUUGUCUUUUUAAAAUUAACAUAUAUUUUCCUAACCAAAGGGCUGUCCUUUGGCGCUCCGUGUAAAAUACUACAUCAGCAAAGCAGUUUACCUCAGAUAAAAGUGCCGCCACACAAAUGACUUUACUGGGCACGUUAUGCACAGUUGUUAAAUUGUUAAUUUUCACUUCAGUCAUUAUCAAGAUCUUUUUCUCCACAUUAUACGACUUCAAUCAAGCAUUAGAUUCUGCUGUUUCAGCAAUCACUCUCCAUGGUCUCACUCUGCUUUACCGAUAGGGACAUUUUAAUUGCCUGUUUGAUGUGAUUUAUCUUCAAAUGGAUGCAGCCUGUUUCCUUCUGUUUGAAUACCAUAAUUCUUCAGCACACUCUAUACACAUAGCAAGAAGGAAGCUUUUAAUAAUAGAGUUGAUUAUGUUCCAAAGAUACUGUUUUAAACCAUGCAGUGUAGCAGAGGCUCCAGUCACAGGCAGAGUGCAGCAGUCUACCCAGAUGCACUGUGUGAUUCAUUCCACUAGGCAGGGCUUGUGUGGCUUUCUCUCUGUCUUAUCCCAAAAGCAGGGCAGCAGUGCCCUCUCCCGGGCAGCCCAUGGGGUUUCUUCCCUUUGCAGUUCCUUACCAAGGAGAGUCCCAACCCCAGCUCCUCUUUCAACCCCUGCAGGUGAGACCCGGCCCACCAGGGCUGUGUGUCUGUCAGCUUUCUGUUCUCCUUUCUCCGGGCUCAGCUUUCUGCCUGUUCCAAUAUCUUACUGCUCUUUCAGAGAAUAAAUUUUUCCUAAUAUCCAACCUGAAACUCUCCAGGUGCAACUUAAAGCCAUUACUGGUCAGGAGGAAAAUAUCUUUGCCAUCAACAAGUUAUUCAAAGACGAUGCAGAAAAACUUCUUUAUUUUGAUGGUGAUCACACUGAAAGAGGCUGCCCAGAGAGCCUGUGGAGUCUUCUUCUCUGGAGACAGUCAGAACCCACCUGGAUGCUUUCAUUUGUGACCUAUUUAGGGAACAGCUUUAGCAGGAGGUUGGGCUAAAUUAUUUCCAAAGGCCCCUCUGACCCCUACAGUUCUGUGAUUCUGUUAUAUCCAUCCUUGAAGAGCUUCAGCACUCAGCUAGACAAGGUCCUAAGCAACCAGUUUUCACAUGGAAGUUAGCCCUGCUUGGAACAGACUGGACUAGCUGACCUCCAGCGACAGGAGUCUCAAUGUGAGUCUCAUGUACCUUAUAACUGAUCUGUUACUGAGGUUUUUAGUGCUUUUUCUUCAUUUUGUAUCUUUCCUGUGUUUAAGGAGCAGUAGAAAUAGCUUGUGAGCCAGGGAUUGUUCCUGGAGAGUCCAUGGGAGAUGGCUGAGCAGUUCUUCCAGCUUAGAGCAGUCUCCAUGGUAUUAGAUGUCAGGGGAAACUGGAGCUCAAAACACCUGCCUUGUACUGUGCAGCUCUUUUAGUUUAUAUAGAAAAGGCUUAUAAGGAGCUUUGAUUGUGCGUUAUAGAUACACACAAAAGUGCUGCCAAAAAAUGUAAGGAAAAAGCACGCCUUUUUUUUCUCCCUAACAUCAAUGCUAACAGCUAUUAAAACAGCUCAGCUUCAUUCACAGCUUUAAGACAAAUUACAUCCCUGCUAUAAAAUUUUAGCAGUUUGACAAUUCACAAAGCAUGAAAGCAACUUCAAACUGCAAGAAUAAAGCAAGGAGAGAAUUGCUCCUACCCACAUGCUCAGACACUGAGCAUCGCCCAGCUCAGUGCUUCUACAAGGGGGCACAUACCACUAUAAGUUCCUGUUCUGCAGUUGUAUUUGGGAUAAGAACUGAAUUCAUUUAUAUUUGCUAUGGGUUUUUUUUCCAAGGAUAGGUUGCAACACAUUGGAUGGGGCCUUGCAAUGAAAUAGGCCUUGGGGUGAUAAAGAAGUACAACUUACCUGGUUUAAAGCCCCUGGGUGAACACCAUGUGUAACUGGCUCUCUGAUGGUGUAUUGCAGUAACUAAGUCGUCCGUCACCUCACCACGAUGGGGACCAUGCAGCAAGGAGCAGUGCUUGUCCAGCGUAGAGAGACACAGGCACUGCAUGGGCUUAACGCAGGCUGUCCCUGAUCAGCAGCACAGGAGGGUGGCCAGGCUGUGAGAGCUUCUGAACAUGAUGGGCCCUGUAGCACAUUUCUCCUCAGAGAAUUACACGGGCCUGACAAGCACAGUGUUGUUCACAUAGAACCACUGAUCCAUGAAGUGCUUCAAACACGCGUAGGUACAUUUAUUCACAGAUACUUUAACGAGAAGAAACAAAUGCAUGUUAACAACAGUGGAGUUUGACCCUUAUACACAAAGGAUUCUUUGGUUUGGGACUAUGUUUUGCACGUAGAAAGGCGGAAUCUGUCAGUACCAGUUACACAGCAGUUCCUUCUAUCACCUCUAACAAGUAAAGCCUUGUGGCUGUAGGUUAUUCCAGAGUGGUUUAUCUUCAGGCUUCUCUGGUGACAUCUCUUUGUGUGAAAUAUACAGAGCACCAGGUAAACACGUGAGCCUAGGGAUAAGAGUAUUCUCCAGGCAAUAGGAAACAUGAACUUGAAUCCUUGGGGUAGAGAGUCAAAAGCUGCUUCAGGCAGCCUGGUCUAGUGGACCCUGCCCAAGGCAGGGGUUUGUAGUGGAUGAUCUGAUCUUCGAGGUCCUUUUCAGCCCAGGCCAUUCUGUGAUCCUAUGAUAUUUUUUAUAAGCACUAUAUUUAUAUUUGGUGUUGAUUAAAACCUUUUUUAUUAUUAUUAUUCUGGAAACAGAAUCAAUUCAGAUUGCUUUAGGCUGAAUUGUGGUGUUUCUUCACAGGUUCAUAUUAAAGCCAAAGCCAAAAGAGUAGCUGGCUAUUCAGACCAGCCCUGAUGCCAGGCUUCAGACCAAGCUGUAAGUAGGUUUUGUAGGGUAGUGAUUUGUUCCCUGGUAAUACUGGAGGUGAUCGCAUGGUGGCUUCAGAAUACAAUGACAGGCUUCAGACAGGCUAUACUCCAAAACUUUCAUGUCCCACAUGCACCUGACAUGCACCACACACCCUGUGCCAACAGCUUAUUGCCACAUGGAAAGGAUGGAAGAGUAGUAAGUGGUCAGUUAUCACAACUAGAUAAAACCAUUCCAAUGGCACCAUGCUGCCACUGUACUUUUCCCAAUGCAGUCUGGUAGUGUAGGAAAUGGCAAAGAAGUAGUACAAGGCUAAUGGGAGGUGCUCACACUUCCCACGUCUACAACACAAUCAGAAGACUAAAAAGUGAUAAAAAACGUUUCUUCUGCAGAGUCUGGGAGAGAACCAGAAAAACAGGAUGAAAGCAUUUCUGUAGCUCUCAUAGAAAAAGGUAAUAUAAGUCCAUUUUUCUCAUAUUUCUGUAUCAUGUCUUGUUCAUGGGAAGCCUAAGCCCUAUCCAAGCUCAGAUCAGCACAGAGCACACCACGAAAACCAAUGCCAGUCCAUAUACAGCUUAGGUGAAACUGGAACAUUUCUUAUCUGUUUUCUACUACAUAGGAGUCUACAUCUCUACAUCUACUACAGAUGAAUCAACUACUAAAGAUCUUGGGAGAAAGCUGAUUUAAGUCUCCCCUGGCCAAAGGACAGCCGCAAGAUAAAUGGGGAAGUGUAUUUGUUACAGUGAACUCUUAUUUAAUUUAAGACAGAUCAGAGCAUGCUAUGGUUUGCAUAUGCAGAAAUUUAUGCUUGUUAUCUGAGGUGUUUCCUUCUUUCACAUGAUGCCAACCUAAAAGACAAUUUCUCAUGAGUUUCUCUACACAAAGUUUUCGAUCAUUGAGCAACAGGACCAGAAAGCAGAGGAAGACACUUAUCCAUCAAUUAAUUUCCUUUAUUUCACAAGCUUUGAAUUCAGAAAUAGAACCACGACUAGUAGAUCUUCAUACGGUAGAGUAAGUAAAAAUGCAUGUGAUUACAAAGGAAAAACUUUGUACAAAAAACUUUAAAAAUCCGACGGCAACUUGAAUUAUCUGUAAGUACCAAAAAAGUCAUGCAGAAGGAGAGCACUACUGCCCAGGUGGAGAAAUCCCUGCAGGGGUGGCAUUGGUUUGUAUAAAGUAUGGCGCUGUCUAAAAUGGAAACGAUGAUGACACAGACUUGGAACGUACUGAGUGGAUACAGACAGGUGCUACAGAGACCAUUUGUCGUUAUUUGUCCUGAUAACUUUUUCUGUGUCUGAGAGAAGUGCUUUCUUGGGUUUAUAAUAAAUUAAAGAUAAAACAGAAGCUGCCUAUACUACUCUACUGCAUACUCUCAAGAUGGCCAUUUUCUUCCUUCAUAAGUGUUUUUAGUGGUGGUUAUCAAGUACAGACAUUAAUCUUGGCAUUUCAUCUAGUCAAUUGUUGGCAACGUGUUCUAUAGGGACUCACUCACAGAAUGCAACUUGCAUAAAUAACUCAGUAACAUGCAUUAACUAUUCUAAUACAGCAAAAGGGUGCAAAGGAACCAUCAUUCAGUUACGAGACAAAGCUAAAACCUGUGGUCACUAAAGGGGCAAUGGAAGCACCAUGCUUUAAGGUGACUAUGGCAUGAAAGCACAAUUGUGAGGCAAGUAGCUCCAAGCAAACACACCACACUAUUUUCACCUCUUUCUAUACAAAU